rnacentral:rRNA from 2 species
CGCUGGCGGCGCGCUUAACACAUGCAAGUCGAGCGAUGAAAUCUUAACAGAACCCUUCGGGGUGAAGAUAAGACGGAUUAGCGGCGGACGGGUGAGUAACACGUGAGUAACCUGCCUUUUACACAGGGAUAGCCUCGGGAAACCGGGAUUAAAACCUGAUGAAACUAUCAAAUCACAUGAUUAAGAAAGUUAAAACUCCGGUGGUAAAAGAUGGACUCGCGUCCCAUUAGCUAGUUGGUGAAGGUAACGGCCCACCAAGGCAACGAUGGGUAGCCGGCCUGAGAGGGUGAACGGCCACAUUGGAACUGAGAAACGGUCCAAACUCCUACGGGAGGCAGCAGUGGGGAAUAUUGCACAAUGGGGGGAACCCUGAUGCAGCGACGCCGCGUGAGCGAAGAAGGCCUUCGGGUCGUAAAGCUCUUUUAUAUGGGAAGAUAAUGACGGUACCAUAAGAAAAAGCCCCGGCUAACUACGUGCCAGCCGCCGCGGUAA